AGGAUGUGAAGGGCCUUCGGCGUGAGCUGCAAGCUGUAAGACUUUUCAGCAAGCAGCAAUGUGAAAACAUGGCUGAACAGCUCCGCUGGGCAGAAGAGCAGUGCAGCAAGGCUCUCAGACUCUGGCAAGCUGCUCAGGAGGAAGACAAAAGGAAGCUGGAAAAACUGGAGAGCCAGCUAGAAAAACAGCGUUUGGAGGCGCAGGAGCUGCUGGAGCAACGGGACAAGUUCCUGGCAGAGCUGCAGCACCAGAAGGUCGAGCUCUUAUGCAAGCUGCGCCGGCUGCAACAAAAGUUAAAACAAAGCCAGCAGUUUGUAGAGCUCCUGAAGGACGAGUUGAAGGAGGAGCAAGAGAAUGGGCAGAAUAUGAAGGACAAGCUGCAGAAAGCUCAGAGGAAAAUGAAGGCCAUGGAGAAGAGGCUGAAAGAAGAAAUAGAAAGGAUGCAGGAGAUGCAGCUGCAGUUAUGGAGAAGAGGCUGAAAGAAGAAAUAGAAAGGAUGCAAGAGAUGCAGCUGCAGUUGAGGCUGGCUCUAGAGAAACAGAUGGAUGCAGGCCAUGCCAUCCAAGCUGCCCCUGCAACAGCAUCCUCCAAAGAAGCCUCCUCUCCGCAGCCUGAAAACCUGAGCACCAGCAGUUCGCCCAGCUCAGCAGGAGGCAGAGCAGCUGUGCACCAGGAGAGAGAGGAGCAGUGCCUGGAGCUGCUGAGUACGUCCUGUGCAUUUCUUGUGCGAUCCAGCAGUGUGUUGUGUGUUUGCCUCAGCAUGAGCUGUGCCACAUGUUCCUGCUCACUUUGGUGUCAGACAGACAUUUUGGACUCCCUACAGAAGCUGCUGUUGUACUUCAAGGCAGCCAGGGAGCACUUGGGGCACUCCUUUUGCCUUUGAGGGCCGCUGGGAAUGGGCGGGCUUUGCCUGUGCUUCCCUGUGCAGCAAAGGCAAAAGCUUGGAUUGUUU
rnacentral:lncRNA from 12 species